rnacentral:rRNA from 1 species
UACGUAGGGUGCAAGCAUUAAUCGGAAUUACUGGGCGUAAAGCGUGCGCAGGCGGUUUUGUAAGUCUGUCGUGAAAUCCCCGGGCUCAACCUGGGAAUUGCGAUGGAGACUGCAAGGCUAGAAUCUGGCAGAGGGGGUAGAAUUCCACGUGUAGCAGUGAAAUGCGUAGAGAUGUGGAGGAACACCGAUGGCGAAGGCAGCCCCCUGGGUCAAGAUUGACGCUCAUGCACGAAAGCGUGGGGAGCAAACAGG